GUUCUGCUCAGGUGGGCAACUCUAGCUUCAUCCAUCUGUAUCUUUUUCUUGAUGAAAUGGCAUGCAGCUCUUUUGCGUCAUUCGAGAAAAAAUAACCAGGGAAGCACACUGAUUGAGUUCCUGGUUCCUGCCAAAUAAAAUCUCACCUGUUUUCUUUUAAAAAUGGAUUAAACUUGUAUAUUACUAGAAUUCAAGUACAAAUGAGAUGGUACAACAUGGACUAGAUUAGACUAGUUUGAGUAUGUGUUGAGUCUAGUUUAUAGGGUGAUAGUUGUACUUUCUAAAAUUUCUAUAAUUAGUAAAUAGUGCAGUGACUAUAUUUUUAAUCAAUAGAUGACCGUUGACACUAUUCCAAGAAUUGCAUAUCAUCUGUUAUUGUUCAUGAAGGAUCUAAUUCUAGUUUGAAUUUGCUAGAAACUUAUUGAUUGCUUUCUGUAUAAUUUAGUUUACAAAUUGAAUUUAGUAUCUGAUAUUGUAAUACAAUACACAUUUGUAUGUUAUUUUUUGCAUUUUUUUUACAAAAUCCAGUACUCAAGUACAUUGAUUUGCUAUGUCUUUUAGUUACUACAUUUGUAUAUGUUUAACCAAUAUACAAUUGAGAUUCCUAUAUAGAUAAGAUUUAGUUUUUCUUUUUCAUAACUCUUGACAUUUCUGGAGAUCUACUUCUGAAUCUUGUGCAUCAUAUACACUUCUUUCCUCAGUGAACCAUAUGUUACUGAAGAUGAACUGAAGUUAAUGUUACGAGGAGCAGAGUUGAGUGGUGCAAUUGCAGAAGAUGAACAGGUUAGACAAUCUAGUAUAUGGAGAUGCCCAUAUAUUGUGCUGCAUAUUUCCUUCUUUAUUCUUUAUGUUUCUGUGUACCUCACAGCAAGAUUUUGUUAUCCAGUGCAAUCUAGGCAAAGCCUUUACUUACAAUUUUUAUAUCAUAUAGAAAGCUGACUACUUACAUAAAUAAAGAGUGAAUUAAUGAAAUUUCAGGAAAAUAGUAACUAACGUUUUUGCAUGAUUUUAACUGCUAAUUUAAUGUUUGUACACCAUCUCAUCACAUAUAUCCAGAAUUUGAAAAGCAGUAUGGCCCCAAAGGUUUGAGUUAGAUUAUACUGUUGCAGACUAGGAUUUUGCCUCUUGAUAGUUUACUAGCACACUUUGGCUACUUCUUUGUUUUCUUGAAAACGCAGGAGAGCUGCACUUCAUUAUAUUAAGAGGAUAAAGGGCAAGAGCCCGAACAACCCCACAAACACCAUACACACACCACACACAUCACACACUCACGCCCCAACAGAAAUGUUACAUUCGCGCCCGUAAGAAAACACACAACGCGACCACUACUAGGCUAAACAUUUCUAACUAUCGGGGAGGAGGGCAGUCAAGAAUGAUAGCUCUCGAGCUGCUGCCAUAGACCAUAAACGGCGCUCCUCGCCUGCUAUGAUCAGAGCGCCAGCAAGGUUUGGAGCUGCUCCAUCAAAGACACACCCAUUGCGAUGGUUCCAUAUAGUCCAAGCUCCGAGCAUAACAAGAGAAUUAAUUCCUUGCCUUGUCAGCCCAUCAGCAGUGCUGCUAGCCUUCUCCCACCAAGCAUGGAAGGAUAAUUCUGUAAGCUGAGGGGACAAAAGCCUGAUUGAACCAAAAUUCUCUUGUGAACACACAAUGGACAAGUAGAUGGUCGAUAGUCUCCUUUUCAUGGUCACAAAGGAGGCAAUUCUCCGGAUGAGGUAACCCUCGGCGUGCUAGACGAUCAGCUGUCCAGCACUUAUUGUGCGACCAGCCACAUAAAGAAACGGCAUUUGGGCAGCACCCAUGAUUUCCAAAUCUUUUCCCAUGGUCCAAAAAGAGUAGAUCCGAAAAAGAAGCCUUCAUAUGCCGAUUUAGCCAAGUAUUGUCCAUUAGAGGAGAGCCUCCAUAGGUGCUGCAGCUGAAAAUCCAGAAGUAGAUCCCACCAUAAGUGAAAGUAGUCAACAAACCCACCAACUGUGAGCGCUCCUUGUAUGUCCAAAAUCCAAGCCCGGUUAGUAAGGGCAUCCUGGACAGUAUGCUGCUUAACCCUCCUUUUAGGAGUAGCCACAAAAAGUCGAGGGGCAAGAUCUGCAAUGCAUUGCCCAUUGAUCCGAUCUGUCCAGAAAAGAGUGUUUGCACCAUCCAAUUUCAGAAGUUACUGCCACUGAGUAGAAGGCUCUUACUUGCUUCGGCACAUGGAAUGGUAGAGCAGCCCAAGGACAAUGAGGUUCUGUUUUCUGCAGCCAAACCCAUCUCGUGCGCAAGGACCAGCCAAGGGUUUUUAAAUCUGAAAUUCCCAGGCCUCCAAGCUCUGGUGGGCCACAGACUUUGACCCAAGCCACAAGACAAUGACCACCUUUUUGCAUAUUUUCGACCCCUCCAAAGAAAGCCACGCCAAAUUUUAUUUACCACUUUGAUAGCCAUGGAGGAAAGUCGAAAGCAAUAGCUAAGUAAAUGAGCAUUCUCAGUGAGAACUGAUUGUACUUGAACCCUUCUUCCAGCCCUUGUCAUUAGGUCUGCCUUCCAGCCAGGAAGUUGAUCUGCAGUACGAUCAAUAAUAGGCUGCACUUGUUUCUUUAGGGAGAGGGGCAGACCUAAGUAUUUGCAUGGGAAAUCCGAGAGGGGCACACCUAGCUAGUUUCUUUGGCUACUGUUAUCCUUUAGGUAUUUUGCAGAACCUUUCCAUAGCAAUCCCAUUAAUCUUUAGGAAGCGAUCCCAUUUGUUAAAGCCCCUGCAGGCAACUUUCAAGUUCAUUAUUCUCGAUCACAGGUAGUCAUUCUGCAUAUUUUUCCCUCAGAAUCAUCAUAAGAAUUGGGUUAAGUGGAUAGGUCAGACUAUAGCAUGGAAAUACAUAAGUACUGAUAGGUUGUUGAAACUAUCUAAGACUACAGAUUUAUCGUGUCAAUUUGUCACAAAUAACAGAUUUUAGCUGAUGAAAUCAGUACUUCUGCAGUACAUAGAAAUACUAAAUGUGUAGUUUUAGUUUUGCAAAAACAAGGACACUAAAUUUAUAAUUCUGUGAUAAAACUUCUUAAAUCUGUAGUUUUGUGAUAGCAUAGCCCACUCACACAUAUACAAAAAAAAAGAAAAAGAAAAAAAGGAACCAUAUAGUUAUUUAUGUGCUUAGAUUCUAGGCCCUAGAACUAGAACCUAUAGCUGUGUUACACUAUUAUGAAUUCCUAGUCCGUGCCUGCUUGUGCAGGACACUUUUCUACUUGAUCAGCUAAAGUCAGCACCUGAGUCUUUUAACAGGAUAUGAUCGAGAAUGUCCUGGAAAUUAAAGAUACACAGGUGAGGGAAGUAAUGACGCCUUUGGUGGACGUAGUUGCAAUUGAUGCUAUUGCAACACUUAUUGAUUUCAAAAACUUGUGGGAAACUCAUCAGUACUCUAGGUAUUGUCAACUAUUAUUGUCGCGUGUAUUUUCAAGUCUUAUCACUGACAUCUGCUGCUAUUUGUUAUUUCCAGAGUUCCUGUAUUUGAGGAGCGCAUAGAUAAUAUUGUUGGAAUUGCAUAUGCAAUGGACAUGCUUGAAUAUGUUGAAGAGGUAUGUCUCUUGUUUACCAUUUAAUGUAAAACUUAAUCACAGUGAGUCUUAUUUGCUCCACAUGAUGCUUCUCUAAAGGGAAAGUAAAAGGUGUAUUUUUCUUUUGAAGGUUGAGAAGCUGAAUGAAAUCACUGUUAAGAAAAUCGCACAUAUGCCUACAUACUUUGUUCCAGGUAAUUUUUAGUAACAUUGUUGGAUACAAGUAUCAUGAUGAACUAAAAGAAGGCAUCUGUCAGUAGUUAUAGGGUUGGAUGUUUUUCCACAACAAUUAAUCAUUUCUGCCACAUGUUUUCUCCCAUCUAUGCAUCAUGGAUGUAACAUAUGAUACUGUUUCAUCUGGCAGAUUCAAUGUCUGUUUGGAACCUAUUAAGAGAGUUCCGGAUCAGGCAGGUUCAUAUGGCAGUGGUCCUUAAUGAAUAUGGUGGAACUAUUGGUGUAUGUCCCUAUGAAACCCAUUUUUUAUACUUUACAAACUGGACACAGUUUAGUACUUGUUAAUAUUCUUGUUAUGCUUUCAUCCAAGGCUAGUUGCUCAAUUGAGACCAUUUUGACUUAUGGCACACAACGAGGUUCAACAUUGUUUACUCCAAUCAAUUUUUAGUUGUAACUUCCAAGCAUGCUAGUUAGUUUGCUAAUAAUUGAUGAAUGCUAGUCAGUACAUGGUGACAUUUUGAUGGCCAUUUAUUGGCAACACUACUGGCUUUUGUUCCACAAUGGUCGUGUUUUUAGCACAAGCAUGUGGUGCGAUGCUUCAAGUGAUCUUGCUGCACAGCUUAUGUAACUGCAGCAAUGGGGCACUUUUCAUCUGUUGCAGUAGCAGUCCCUGUUGUUCAUGGUUUGUUUCCUUUUAAGAUAUACCCCACACAUAGAGAUUAGUUAUGCUCCAUGCAGCAGAGAUUAUUACUUUCCACAAGUUUAGAGAUUGUUUCUUAGGAAGUAGUUAUGCUCACAGUUUGUUCAUCAGUUUCUGUUUUCAGAAGUAGUUGAUGAGCGAUGAACAUGUUUUGAUUAUGUUUGCUGCUGAAAGGAUAAUUCUUUAAGAUGUUUUUCUCAUUACUGAUGCUCAUUGGUAAAAGUUGCAAAUGAUUGGACAAAGCUACUACCCGUGAGCUUCCUUUGUCUCACAUACCCUUCGAGCAAUUACGCUUUAAUGUAGCAAUAUCUAUCCAUUACUUGCAGCAACUAAGUCCUAUUGUAUUCAGAAAUGUUUAUUAGAACAGUUUGUAAUUUCAUAUGUUUAUCACUGCAUGGGACAUUGGGAAUUACUCUGACCUUUGGCCAAAAAAAAAUGCAGAUUGUAACACUAGAAGAUGUAGUGGAAGAAAUAGUUGGUGAAAUAUUUGACGAGAAUGAUUCCAAGGUGAUUAUUUCUGGAAUUUUUUAUUUCAAAUCGCAAGUGGGUGUUCAGUGCCAUACAUAUGCAUGCUAUUAUUUUCUAUUUCUUUUUCAAAAUUAUUUCCCCCUUUCUUUUGGUUUAUUAUUCCCUUUUUGCCUUGUAACUAUCGUUCUUAUAUUACAUAACUGACUUUUCAUAUGUUGGUAAUAAAUAAUGAUAUGCUAGCAUUUGAACUUACGAAAUUUAGUGGGCCAAACAUACUGAGCCAUGCCAAAAAAGACAGGCAAAUCAUACAGUCAUAUUUUAGCAGCAGCAGUGCAUUAGCGCGGUGGGUACUGAGCCGGAGUUUGCAUGUGCCUGAAGGUGGCUGAAUGAAUAAGGUGGAUAUUACCCUACCCGCACCCAAAUCAAAAUGUGUAUUUUAUUUCUACCCAUACCCUCCCCAAUUAAUGCGGGUGUGGAUUUGAAUAUGGGGAUUGAAUAUCCAGCGGCAGGUAUAAAGAUUAGAUCUCCUGCCUCAGUGCUUCUCCAAGAUCUGGAAGCAGCUGCUUCACUCCUAUUUUCUGUAUCCUAGUCAAAACAAAGGAUUUUUCCAUGUAGCAAGCUAGUUGCUCUUUGUCAUUUGCUUAGGCAGUCUCUCAAUUCCUUCUGCUACUCUGUUUUUCACCCUUUCAGGAGGAAAUCCAGAAGAAAACAGGCUAUAUAGUGAGGCGGGGAGAUGGAACAUUUGAUGUUGAUGCAAAUACAUCAAUAGAUCACCUCUCUGAAGAGCUUGGUAUCAAAAUACCAGAGGUAUUGUUUCUCAUUUGAUCUUAGCUUUCUCUACAGUUGCUAUGCAUUCCCUUGGACAUGUGUAUAUUUAAGGAAGGUAUGGCUCGGAAAAUAGUAGAUUGAUUAUGAGUAGUACAAAAGGGUAGGCAAGGAUGAUCUGGGAUUUAUAGAACAAUACCCAAUCAGGGAGAUCCUUGCCUAAUAGCUAAUCAACUACAUAAAACCCAUGGAGGCAGGCUUAGGUGCCAGGGCCCAUGCGGCCAGCCCAAUAGCCCUCUGGAAACUCCAUUCUAACAUAUAUGUUGGAGUGGACACUGUAUGAUGAUCAUCGAAAUGUGAGUUCCAUCAUUUAGAGAUGCCUGGUUUGCAGAACCUAUACAGAUAUAACGUUAUUAUAUCUAUUUUUUGGUGGAAACUGGACAUUUAAUAUUUAGGUCAACAAAAUAUUCACAAAUGUUCUGUUUGUAAAAUAUGCCCUUGGUAGUCAUCAUUUAUAUGGUGCUCUGUAUUUCUGUCAUGUUUCUCGUAGAUUGGCUGAUAAUCUUGAGACACUUGGACACUAUCUUUUGGCAGGGGCAUCAGUAUGAGACGGUGUCUGGUUUUGUCUGUGCAUCUUUUGGCUAUAUUCCAGAAGAAGGUGGGAAAAUGCUUGUGAUUCUUGAAAAGGAUUACAGAGAAGAAAACGGUGAAUAUCAGGAGGAAGGUUCUGAUCGCCAAGAUGAUAGAGAAAAAACUCAAGCUUACGAACUUGAGGUAAUUGUUACAACUCCUUGUGUACUCUGUUUGCUCAAGAGUUCUAGUACCAGGUCAAUUAUUAUAAUGCGAUUAUCUUGUCAUCGCUAGAAAUCUUUACUAGUAUAUAUAACUAUUAUGAAUUUUCCUUCAUUACUUGAAAGCUGAAAGACACCACAAAAGCUUCAAUUUUCUUUGUUGAUGCAAUACCAUGAAACCUUUUUUGUUAAAUAACUCUCAUUAGAACCAAUUUUCCAUACAGGGCAUUUGGUUCUUAGAUCAUUUUAUAGGAUAUUUCGUACUAUAAGUAAGAACCAACUACUAUCCACAAUUACCUCUACAUGCUUGUUUGUGCAUAUAAAAAGACAACAAUACUCAGAAGGUUGCUGUAACAUGUCCACACUCCGCUUUUGUGGUGCUAAUACUACCGAACAUUUGUAAUUGCUUUUUUUAUUUGAAGCUAAAAAAAGAAAGUAUACAAAAACUAAUAGAUAAGAAAACCAACUACUCAAUUGUCAAUUCAGAAUUCAUACUGUGGGUUAUAAGGUUAUUUCAGUGAAAUUGUUUUGGUAUUGGUACACAACCUUUAUUAGUUGGUGCAACUCCCAUUUCCGGAAGUCUUCGUACACUUUAAUUGAAUUGCUGCAGCCCUAGGAAUCCAUAGUUUCUGUUUCACAAUUCACCCAAAGUUUCAUUCUUUGUUGCAGAAUUAAAUAACCUUCUGUAGUUGUUUUCACUACCUUUAUUACCUGGCUUCUCUUGCUCACAGAUAGUGGAAGCUAAUGCAAGGAAGGUGGGCAAAGUCCUAUUUAAGCCAAUAAGCAGUGAAUGUGUUGGUGUUGACAACAAGGGUGUGAACCGCCUGGUCUCCAAGAAGAUCAUCAAACGGAAGAAGCAGGGCUAUGAUGAUUCCUCCGGUGACGAGUAUCCAGAUACAACAGAGAAUGGCUGCCCUGCUGAGGCACUCUCCUACUCGGAUGGUAACAGUGCCUUGUUGGAAGAUGCAAGCAGUUCUAGUGCCAAGAGGUGACAAUAAAGGAACUCCAAGACCAUCGUACUACUGGUAAUAAUUACAGCACACCGUCACCGGUCCUAAUACCCCUUGUUACAACAGAAGAAGAUGAGAAGAACAUAGUAGUAGGCUACCCAAAAAAAAAAACUGCGAGAGCAACACCAAGAGGUUAACAGCAGUUUAAGGCAUUGCAACAUUUUUCAGUAGCAGGAGUAGCAGUAGUAGCAGUCUAGAGGUGCAGCGAGGUGUCGACGUCGACUUCACCAGAGACAUGUUUGUAGUUGUAGGUCUUACUGGGCCACAGCUCCACCGCAAUGGGGUCGCUAUCGCCGUGGAGCUGGAAGCUUUUGCAUUCACAGACAGUGGUUGGCACGGCCGGGAAUAAGGAGGCUGCGGCGGCAACAGCGGCAGUGGUUUCCCGCAGCGGCCUGCACGGGUAGAGCAGCUCCGGGUGGAAGAACCACUUGACGGGCAUCUCCCUCGGGGAGGCGGUGGCCGCAGGGCGGGGGGCGAGCACGUGGAGAAGCCUCUCCUCCCGCUUCUCCCUGAUCCUCUCCAGCUCCCUGAACCUCUGCUGCAGCAGGGCGAUGGAGGAGAACAUCACCUGGCCUUCGCUGCUCUGCACCCCCAUGAUGACUGGGCGAGAGGGGGAGCUCUCACUCCAGCUCCGAGUUUCAGUUACGUGUUCGUGUCGUGUGUAUCUCACUCAAGCGUCUGUCUACUUCGCUCGGUGUGUGUGGGGGUUUUGCUUGCUGCUUGAAGGGGUGGUGGUCUUGGGCAUGUGCGUAUUUAUAAGCCGCAAAGUUUUGUCACGGCGCAGGGCGUCGUCUUGUGGUCGUCUUGCAAGUUGCGCCAAUUCUUUCAUCUUCAUCUUCCAUUAUGUGAUGCUAUGCCUGUUUGUGUGUUUUGUUUAUGGGCUGAUUGAAAAACAAAAGAGGCACUAUUGGUAUGAGAGAGAAUCUGGGAGGAGAAUGUCACGUCGCCCGAGAAAGGAAGUGGGAGGCGUGCAGGUGAGAGAAUAAGGGGCGUGGCGUGGGAGAGUCCAAGGAAAUGGGGCUGUGGACGCUUGCGCUUGUUCCGUUCCUGGCGGUGGGAAUCGCCGUGUGCCGUUGUGAUGUGCGGGGUGGCCAUGAUUGCGCCUCUGUUUGUCUGUCACCUUUUUCCCUUGCGCAUUGCUGCAGCAGCAGGGCAGGGGAGAGGUCUGCAUGCCCUGCCAUGCCCUGCCCUGCUGCUCGUACUAGCUCGCUACUACUCCCUUCCCCCUCUCCAUCCAAACGGGCACUGCGAGCUUUUCCUGGUCUAUAAUGGCGUCGUUGGAGCUGUAGUACGUGCUGUUCGUAGCAACUGUGGGCAGCGCUUUCAGGUGUGGAACUGUGCACUCCAUGAGCCAUUGUCUUCGUUUGCGUGUGUGAACGUGUUGGAGAGUCUGGGAGCAGAAAGUCUGCGUUGAACGUUACUUCUUUGGGUCUUUGACUGGUGCGUCCAUAGAUCUGUGAAUGGGAGCGCUGAUUGCACGCUGCGUAGUACAGUGCGUUCGAGUAACGCUGAGACGGCGUGCUGCUUUGAAGUUUCAACUUUUGGUUAAUUCAGGAAAGUUGAUUGAUCUUAUGUUUUUUGACGGCCAGGUAAACACGGCCAAUUGCACCGGCGUCAAAAAGACCUCUGUCAUCCGAUGCUUUGGACAGUAAUUGAGAUAUUCGUAACAAAUGCUUCACUACCCGAAGAGAAAACUAGUUUUCGUUGGUUUCCGCAUUUUGUGAAAAUAAGAAAGGGCAUGUUUGAGUCAGAGUCGGGUUAUUAUAAUUGGAUUAUCGACUCUAAUAAUUAGAGUGCUAGAUUUUUUGUGGUGGAACCUAUCCAUUUCUUGCCUAGCCAGCCAACUAUCAUGAUGCUACAUGGUAUUUAAGUAACGACCAUUUUCUCAAAUGGUCAAGGAUUAUAUUCUUCUUUGAUUUUUUUUUCCCUUCAAGUGGCCUAGGGUUUUGUAGUCUAAUGUGAACAAUAUCAGGUGAAAACAAAAUAGCAUCAAAGAAUAGAUAGCCAAAAUGCCUAACGAAAAGGAAAAUUGUGGGUUACAUGUCUCAUGAAUUAUUUGAUGAAGUAGAAUAAGAUACGUUCGGUUAUUUGAGAGAAAAAAAAACUGCACAACAUAAAAAAAUAACUGUUUGCCUAGUUGGCUAAGAAAAAAUAUAGUGGGCUCCAUGGCUCCUAAGACUCUUUAAAUAUCAUGUAAAUGGAUAUAAAAGAAGUCAAUAAAUCAUUCUGCUGAUAUUGACUGAAUUAUUUGCUAUCAACAAUUAUCCAAAAAAGAUUUCUUUAAGAAUAAUAUUUCUACCAUGUAAAACAAGAAGAAAAAGACAAAUUAAUCGGAACUUUUGUUUGUGGCUGGAACUAUUGUAAAUGUCAUUGUUGAGUUGAGAUAUUUUUUUUUUGAAGUUCCCUUUUUGCGAGGAAUGAGUAAUCUGAACGUUAUUUGUUUGUGGUUGUUGAUUCCCUGGAGCUGUUAUAGAAGUCAUUAUUGAGUAGAGAUUUUUUGAAGUUCCUUUUUGCAACGAAUGAGUAAAUAGUUGCAUAGAUGUUUGAUGGUAUUAGCAUACUCUGCUUCUAAAAUAAUGAAAGGGAUUUUCCGUUACUAUUUAGUUGUGGACUGAGGCCUGAAGAAGUAUGUUUUGAAACUCGGAAUUUCAUGGAGGAUUUGUAGGAAUCCCAUAUAUAAUAAACAUGUCAAAAUUAAUCCUCCUAUAUUUUCUUGGUCAUUUUCUAGAGCUAGGCUCAUUUAUCUUUAAUUUGUCUAGUGAAGAGUAUAUGUAUAUCCUUUGCUCCAAACAUGUAGUGGUGAGUGGAGUUUACUAAUAUUAUUAUGUGUAGUUAACCUAGAACUAGAAGCUUGGUAACUGAGCCUUAUCUAAUCUGGCCCUAAACUAACUUAUCAUCCAAACUGAUCAGUUGGAGUCUUGUGACGAUGAUAUCUCUGGUUUGUUGUGGAACGGGACUAGUACUGCCGGACAUAUUAUACAUUGGAUGCAUGCGACAUAUAUACAGUGUUGAACUUGUUUAUAUUAAUUUAUCCUGGAUAGCCAAUAGUAGCCCAUAACAUUAACAUGCAACAUAGUAUAUGCAUUUGCAUGUACUGCUAGUUCCCUGCUACGUACGAUCCUGACAGUAGGCACCUAAUCUUUCCAUGCCCCAAUAUUUUACCGCCGCUGUCGCUUCCAUUCUAGAGAGAGAACAAUAUGACCAUCUUGUAAAACAUUCUAGAGAAGAGAUGCAUGGAGAGUAUGGCAAUAAUUUAAGCAGAUUGAUGGGAGCGAGAUAUUUUUAAAGGCAGAUCAUCGAUUGAUGCAUGGGAGCGAGAGAGCUUAGCAGAGAAAAUAAAGAAGAUUGGUGAUUGGUGAUAGGCCGGGGCAGCCGUGGUGCAGCAGCAGCUAGAACUAGAGAAGCUAAAAGGAAGGCUGAUGGCAGGGCAGGGCAGUAGUUUAAGGACGGGUCCAUGCCUGCAGCUAGCUAGCAUCUAUCGACGUUCCUCCGUUGUCGCGGAGCCGGUGGACGCGAAUGGCAUGCGUGGGUGCACUACCCUGCUGAUGCACACAGCAUGCAUUGCUGCCUGCAUGCGACAUGGUAUACAGCUCCCGGCCGGCGUCUCUCCUCUCCUCUCUUCUCUUCUCUUGUCCAUCCAUCGGCAGCAUACGGUCGGUCACUCGCAGCAUGCAUGCUCCUCUGAUCGAGCUCUGCUGGUGUCGUGUCGUGUCGUCGAUGGAUCGGGGCCGGGUUGGGUGUUGCUGCAUUGCAUGCUCCCUAAAGCGCCGCCCUUGUUGCCAAAGUGAAUGCUGCCGACGACGACCGCCGCGCCGCCCGUCUUCUUUUUCGGCGGAGGGGGGCGGCCGGGCACGGGCACGGGCACGGCACAGUCUUCCGGGCAGGGGCAGGGGCAGCCGGGCAAGCCAACACCUGCUAGCGGACGAGAAAUUGAAUCGAAUGGGAAACAAAGAAAAAAUUGAUGGCUGAUGGCUCCAUCUUUCUUUCUGUCUGUCUGUCUGUCGGUCAGUCAUUUUACUAAUUUAUUUGACUGCGCUACGGAGACGACAGUGUAACAUUUUUAUUUGUAUUUAAUAAUUAUUAUUUAACUAUAGACUAAUUAGGCUCAAAAGAUUCGUCGCGUAAACUAUAGACAAACUGUGCAAUUAGUUUUUAUUUUCGUCUAUAUUUAGUACUUUAUACAUGUGCCACAAGAUUUGAUAUGACGGGAAAUUUUAAAAAGUUUUUGAAUUUCGAAGUGAACUGGUCAAAUAUGCAAUGCUUGUACGUGCGCACUAGUUUAUGCCAAUGAUUCAUUUUUCGCGGAUCCUCCGAAUUUCACACCAUACAGUCAGAAUAUAAUUGCUCCAAGACACGUCAAUUUUGAUGCGUCAAUUUGUGCAUGUGGUUCCUGGCACUACUGGAUCCGGCUUCUUUGCCGAGAGCCGCGAGCCCUCGGCAAAUGCCUAAAAGCCCUCGGCAAAGGCUUUGCCGAGGGCCAUAAACGCCCUCGGCAAAGCCUACGGCGCCGUCGAAAAACGUCAAUAUUGACGUCGUCUUUGCCGAGAGCCAUGCUGGCAGGCUCUCGGCAAAGAUUCUUUAUUUUUUUUAAAAAAAGCCUUUGCCGAGAGCCCUGCAGGAAGGCUCUCGGCAAAGAACCCCUUUGCCGAGAGCCAGACAUCCAGGCUCUCGGCAAAGAACCCCUUUGCCGAGAGCCAGACAUCCAGGCUCUCGGCAAAGCUGUAGUUCUUCUGAACCCGGCUUUCUAUCUUUGCCGAGUGCCAGCCAUCCAUGCUCUCGGCAAAGCUGAGAAUUUAGUUUUUUUUUCUGUUUUUUAUCUGUUUUUUACAUGCACAGCCACAUAUGUAUAUAUAUAUAUCACAAAUCCCUUUGUCUAUAUCACAAUCCACAUAUAUAUCACGCAUGAAACAUAUCGAAGUCCACAGAUAUCACAAAUCCACAUAGAUAUGACAAAUAUAACAUUACGUCCAACAUAAACCAUAAGUCACCACAAGUUCAUAACAUAAACCACAAGUCCACGUGAAUAUCACUCCUCGAAGUCGCUAGCGCCUCACCCCUAGUGCUGUGACUCUGACCUGUCGUCGCCGUGGCCUCCGUCGUGUCCCGAGCCUCCAUCUGGCCAAGCCGACCAGGGUGAGUGCCCCCCAGGGUGUGUAGAGCUCGCACCUGCCCACGGCGCCCACAUGGCCUGCCCUGGCACCGACGGGUACGGGUACGAGUACCCGGGGCGCGGAGGAGGGCUGCCGGACAACCCGGGGUGGCCGUGCUGCGGAUGGGCACCAGGCCACGUGUGCUGCGUACUUGGGUGGCCAUAAGUAGUAACCUGCCACCCACUCCUUGGAGAAGGGGUCGGGUUCGAACCCCACGACUGAUGCUACAUAAUAUAAAAGCGAACUCAUUAGUAUCUGCAGGACGGCCACACAAGCCAAAGCAAUAGACAAACAUAUAUACACUCACCGGACUGCCUGCAGGGGCAGGAACAGGGGGUGGAACAGGGGGUGGAGCGAAGAGCGAGGCAGGCAGCGGAGGCGCUGUAGAGCUGUGGAUGGACUGGAAGUAUCCGACUAGGUCCGAGAUCUGACGCUGCGUGUGCUGCUGCUGUGCCUCCAUGUGGCGCCGAUGGGCCUCGUCUCUGGCCGCCAGCGCGGCCGCCAGCUCUCGCCGAUGAGCCUCCUGCAGCUCGUCCUGCCUGGCCCGCAACUCCUCUAGCUGCGACUGCAAUAUUACACCCGCAAUGGUUAAACAAUGCAAAAGGAGAUGUAUAUAUGUAAAAAUAAUGGACGAUGGAUAAAGCUGUAGUUACCUGCAUCGUAGCUAUCUGCUGCACGGAGCUCGGCUGACGAGGCCGUAUGGGGACGUCGGAGGUCGAGCUGCUCCCCUGCCGAACCUCGCGGAGCGUGGGUACGGUGGCCGGGUUGAUUGCGCUGUGGGCAAUCAUGUACCGGCCGUGCUGCUUCCCUCCUCCCGUCCUCAUGAGCAAGUCCGUGUCCGAGACCCUUUGCCGUGGGCCGUCCAGUCUGGCUCUCGGCAAAGACCCUUUGCCGUGAGCCUAACGCGCAGGCUCUCGGCAAAGAACUGCUGACUUUUUUUAUUCUUUUUGAAUUUAGAGCUGAGUUUUUUUUUUUGUCCUUGUGACUCAAUUUCUAAAUACAUUUUAAAAUUUGGCAUUAAUUUGACUUUUUUUGCUAUAUUUAACUAAUUAAUCUUGUUUCUUUAUAUUUUUUCACAUAAUUCAAAUUUCAACUGUAGGUACAUGAAAUAUUACAACUCAAUGAUUCGAAAAAUGAUAGUCAAGAUAUUUGGUGUACGUUGAGGUCGUAACCACAACCACACAUGAAAUCUCAACCCUCUCGCUAACAUAACAUGUCAAGGAAUGUGAGGGAAAAUGGAUUUAUAAUUAUAUAAAUUUCAAAUAAACUCCAAAAAUCACGAAACUUGGCGACGUGUCGUGUUAUCGCAUGUGGAGGCUGUGGUAAAAAAUUCAUAAGGUUCCGAGCAAGUUGCGACACCGGAUGUCUAAAACCCAGACAUCUCCACAUGUUAUCGAAUGUGAUCACAUGCGGAGAUGUCUGGGUUUUAGACAUCUCGUGUCGCAACUUACUCGAAACCUUAUGAUUUUUUUACCACAGUCUCCACAUGCCAUAACAUGACACAUCGUCAAGUUUCGUGAUUUUUGGACUUCAUUUGGAAUUUAUAUAAUUAAAAAUCACUUGUACGACACAUGGAUGGUCAUGUUUUAUAUACAAGAAAUUCAAACUCUUGGGUGAGUUUAUGGAUACAACAUCAAAAUGCAGUCUUGAACAUGAGUAUAAUUUUUUGAAUGACUAUAUUUUAUUAUUUCAUGCUCCUACAGUUCAAAAUUACUUUUUCGAGAAAAAUACAAAUAAAAUAAUUUAAUUAAAAAAUAUAGCAAAAUGUUAUAAAAAGCUCUCAAAUUUGAACAUGUGCUUAUAUACAAUAUGUAAGGGUUACAGAAAAAGUUUGAGUACAAAACUAAAAAAAAUCUUUCUUCUUUGCCGAGAGCUUGACAAGGCACUUGGCAAAGGCCUCCUCUUUGCCGAGAGCCUAACGCCGUGGCUCUCGGCAAAGGUGACGACAACGGUUGCCGUUACCAGCGCUGCUCCUUUGCCGAGAGCCUAUCUUUGCCGAGAGCUAGGCUGUCGGCAAAGCUAGCCUUUGCCGAGGGCUUGCCUUUGCCGAGAGCUUGACCAUCGGUAAAGUUUCUUUGCCGAGGGUCGUUUCUGACUGUCGGCAAAGGCAGUCUUUGCCGAGGGCUAGCUCUCGGCAAAGCUGAGCCCUCGGCAAAGCUCUCGUUUCCUGUAGUGUGGGCUUUGAAUUGAUCGAUGGCAAAAAGCCGUAAUGGAAGCACGUCGCGUCUUGAAUGCAUGCACUAUAUAGGAAUAUAGCUACACAAAAGAAGAGAAAUAAUGACACACAUAGUAGUAGCUAGCUAGUAAAGUGUGUAUGUAAGGCCUUGUUUAGUUCCCAGAAAAUUUUGCAAAAUUUUUCACGGUCCCCGUCACAUCGAAUCUUUAAACGCAUACAUAAAGUAUUAAAUAUAGACGAAAAUAAAAACUAAUUGCACAGUUUGGUCGAAAUAGACGAAACGAAUCUUUUGAGCCUAGUUAGUCCAUGAUUGGAUAAUAUUUGUCAAAUACAAACGAAAGUGCUACAGUGUCGAUUUUGCAAAAUUUUUCGGAACUAAACAAGGCCUAAACCUAAAAGCCCAUGCAUUAUUGCUUUUUAAAAAGUUAAAGCGGUGAUGGAUGGUUUUGUUCAUGGCUCGAGGAGGAUGUGUCCUAGCUAGUUGUUGGUGGGGGAGGUGAGAGUACCUAGGAAAAUUUGCUUACAUUUUCCUGUACAUGCAUGCAUGCAACGCUAAUUGGAUGGAUAUGGUCGGAACAUGCAUGGGUCCACCAUUCACAUCUCUUGGUCCUACACGCACGCCUACUAUUGUGAUGCGUCUCAGCUUUUUAAUGUGCCUGCGUUGCAUGCAUGCAGCUGGGUACGUAAGGACACGCCGCAAGCUGCCCAAACUCUAGCUCUGCUUCCCGCAUUGCAUUGCAUUGUAUCUACCUCGUGGCGCAUUAGGGUUAGAGAGAGAGAGAGAGAGAGAGAGAGAGAGAGAGAGAGAGAGAGAGAGAGAGAGAGAGAGAAGUGUGGUAUAGCUAGCAUGCAUCCAUAUAUAUCCGAUCGACCUGUAGUUCAUGGCACAUUCAUUAGGUUUGGAAGAGUGAGAUCGAGGCAGGACGAUAUGUAGUACGUCGUCGUCCUUCGUAUAAACGGACAUUCGCUCAAUGUUGAAUUGUUGACAGACGACGAUGCGCGCGGCACUUUGUUUGACCAUGCAUGCAUUCAUCCGUGCAUGCAUGGAGCGUCUAUGUGCUUGUCCCUGAAUAAACUAAUUAAUCACUGCACGAACUCGAUCGCCUUGCUGUCAACUUAGCUUAGCUUAUUACAAGUGUGUUAACGACAAGCAAUCAUGGAAAUGAGCUGCAUAUAGACACUGUUCACAAUGCACGUUAUGUUGGAGCACUAGCUAUAGCUAAUUAAUGAGCCAGCAAUUAACAAAACGCCUGCUAAACCAAAAUAUGCAUUUAAGCCAUGUUUCGUUUCCUCCGGUAAAGUUUAACUCCUGUCAUAUCGAGUGUUUGGACACAUGCAUUAAAUAUUAAAUAUAAAUUAUUUACAAAACUAAAAUAAAACUAGAGAGUAAUUUGCGAAAUAAAUCUUUUAAAUCUAGUUAGUCUAUAAUUAGAUACUAAUUGUCAAAUAAAACAGAAAUAUGCUAUAUGCUACAGUACAUCCUUAACCGGCAAGUACAGGCCGGGUGAGGCAUGUCGGAUGCUAGAGAUGGCCAAAUGGGCUAAGCCCAAUAAUACGCAGCCUAAGCACAUAUGGGCCUACUAAAGCAUCGCAUUACAUUAUGGGUCGAGCCACUAUGUGUCUCGUGCCCUUUUUUACCAUUCAAAAUGGGUGCUCUCAGGAUGGAUCAUAAUUAUGCCCCUUUUUAAUUCGAGAGCAAUGUUGAUCAAAUUUCGUCGUAGUUGCAGCACAGCCAAAAAAAAAAACUAACAAAAAGAGCCUGUCAGACAACCCAUGGGCCAUCCCAGCCAGGCAAGCCUGGCCGGAAACGAUCAUCUACAGCACCGGACAAAGCGUCAGAGCCAAUCCUGGCCGUUAAUCACGCUCUGGCCCACAGGUCAUGGCUCAUCAACCAGGCUUAAGUGCUUGCCUCCUUAUUAAUCAAGGAUGCAGCGGUACGAUCCUAUAGAACAGAUCCUGUUCAAGUAAGGUCGUGCUACACCGCGCGAGGCGCAGCCUUAUAAGCUAGCUGAACGCAGUCUGCGCUUCCGAGGUGGUACUACUACUACUACGUUUCGCUAAGCUGUUCAGCUCGCCGCGCUAGCUAGCUAGGAUCUAGCUUGGGCCGUGGCCCAUGGGCCUUUCUCCUGUAAAAAAGGCCUAGGCCUUUGAGGAGGGCGGUCCAGUUGUUAGAGGGAGCUUGGGUGGCGUUCUUCAGAGCGGCUCGUGGCAAGUCCAGGCCAUUGUAAUCCAUGUCACUUGUUUCUUGAUUAAAAAAAAAGGCCUUUGUGUAGUGCAGUCCAUGUAUGGCUCAUCGCAUCUGGUCGAGUAAACAAACGGCUUUGUAUUGCAGUUGAUAUUCUGCGCCUUUUUUAGAUUCAUUCAUUCACAAGUAAACACAUAUCGAGCCACAUUAGAUUUAGCAUGUUUUUACCGUUGUCAUUUAUAUAGUGUUCUGACACGAUGGCAAACACAAAUGUGCCAGCAGCGAGGCAGUAAAGUUCGGAGACAGGUACUCUGCAACUUUAUGUUGUUGGGCUGCGUUUCGCUGUAACUUUGCAUAGGAAAAAGUUUACUUUUUCUCCUCUAAUUUUCAAGAUAAUCCACUUUUCCUCUCGUAGCUCUAAAACUGGACAAAUUAUCUUCCUUAAUUUUUUUAAACCGUGUAUUUUACUUCCCUGAAGUGAUUUUGAAGACAAUUUUGCUACAAUAAAGAUAUGAUGCUGAAAAUCCUAUCUCUACCGCAAGAAGCAAAGAUGAAAAUAGUUGGUCUUCUUUUUUCACGGUGGGAGGCAUGCAAUAAGGCAAAGGUUGGUGAACAGUUGUGGUCGACAACAGAGAUUGUUCACAGAGCCAUGUCAACAAGCCUUUUUUUGCUCUAUGCAGUGGUGAGAGAAAGGUGUAAAACCGGAGAUGGAGAAGGUACACUGGUGUCCGCCAAACUCAGAAUAUGUGAAAAUUAAAUUUGAUGGUUCUUUUAUCGAGGACAAAAAGAGUGGAGCCUGGGGAUUUACUAUGAGGAAUCAUGAAGGAUCUAUGAUCUUGGCAGGUGCAUGAAACUUAGAUAAUGUUUAUGAUGCUCUAUGUGCAGAAGCGCAUGCAUGCUUGAUAGCUAUCACCGUGGCAGUAGAUCAAGGAAUGAUGCAAAUUCAGUUUAAAUCGGAUUCUAUGGUUUUGGUAAAAGCUCAUAGAUCUCCUGAUUAUGAUCUUUCAGCUGGAGAUACUAUGUUUAGAGAAGCUAAAUUUCUUCUAGACACUCAUCAUUUCUUUUGAUAUAAGUUAUGUUCCACGUUCUUAUAAUGUCUGUGCACAUGAGUUAACUCGCUAUGUUUGUCAUUGGACCCGGAUCAAUCUUAUGUCUUGGUUGAUUCUCUCCCAGAGUUUGUAAUCUCUGUAGCGGUUCGUAACCUUCACGAUCCACCAGAGACAUAAUAAAGCUGCAAGUCUUUAUCUUAAAAAAAUGUAAAACGCUCUAAGCACUCUGGCGCAAGUCCACACUAAAACUCAAAAAUACAUGUAUUUUUCUGUAUUUAUUUCAUACAUAAAUUAACGACGCUGUUCUUUCUUUUAGUAGUUGUGGAAGACGUACCCAUCUACCAAUCUCAGAAUAUGGCGUAUAAAGGGGAGUGAAUGCAUAUUUUUAUGCACUUGUUUUAAGAAAAAAAAGUGAAAACAUGUUUUUUAAGUAUAGUAUACACCUCCAACAACUCAUUUGUCAGUAGAAUUUCAUAAUCCAACCUAAUCUCAGUUCAGAACUCUAAAAUCUACUGUUGGCAGCUUUAGAAUUUAGAAACCGCAAAUCCGCAAUCCCCACUUAAAUAAAGCAGAAUCAGAUUGCUUUCUGCAAAAAUUCCACACCCGCAUCCUCAAGCUUUUCACUGAAGUAUACAAAGGACAAAAUUUAGAAUCUUUUUCCUCAACGAGCGAGGCUGUCAAACAGUAGCCUAGAACGUGUUCAAAAAUCACAUUGCUCCGAGAACCUUGUGAAAGCAAAGCCUGAAGUAACAGUUCAUGCCCAAAGUCACACAAAUGCAGCACUGUCCUCUUCAUGGUGUAUGCAGUUCCUCAAACCCAAUGUCCUUUGAUGAUUGACGUAUAGGCCACCUGAAAUGCAAUGAGGAGAUUAGUAGUGUCACUACCAAUUUGCAUGGCGAAGGCAAAAACAACUCAUACAAAUUAGAUCAUACAAUGGAUUUUGGGCACAAAAUGUUAUUUUACAUCUUAAGUGGACUGAAAAUCGGGGGACAACUGUGAUACAUCAAACAUUGUAAACAACACAUUAGAAAAUACUCCCUUCUUUUACUCCCACUUGUAGGAUGAAUAGUGAAUGCUAGAAGUGCAUGCAAAGUGCAUAAAUAAUAUACACAGUCAUUUCCCUAAACUAUCAAUGCUAGCUUCCAAAAGAGUAAAAUCUAUUGAACACAAACCUAUCUUUAAUGCUGCCAAAGAAAUUUAAUAAUACUAUUAAUAAUAUAUACAUAUAUCUUCAACAAGCAUCAGAGAUCCUGGUCAUCUGGUGUUAGUGCUGCAAACCUUUUUCAAUUCAAAAAUAUUAUAAAAGAAAACAAAUUCUACAACACACAUGCACACACAGAAUUCCCUGUAUUUUAACCAACCCCAUCCCAGCACUGAGGCAUAAAUCAUCAUCCUCUGAUCUUGCUGUCCACAUUUAUACCCUCCUUCAUGUAUAUGGUCUAUAAAACAGCACGUCAUGUUUAAUUUAUAAUAUUGUUUGAGGGAAGAAACAUUUUAUCAUACCAAAAAUCAUCUAGCAUGUCUAUCAACCUUGAAUAGGACUCACAGAAUUGCCGAUCUAUGAGAGAGGCUUAGGUAUAACUUCAUUUUGCUUUGUACAAAGCAAAAGUAAAAUUCCAUGUAAACUAAUUUGGCAAGAAUAAAACAACAAUGCCACCAUAGCACCUGAGGAAUGAGCCAAAUUUCUCACUCCUGCUGCCCAAAAAUAUGCUCUUCAUCAUCUAAGCCCCAGUAAUGACGUGGAUAGCCCAUGAUGAAUUGAUUAUUAUGUUCAAAGGGGAAAAAACUACGUUUACCCUAUAUCAUGCAGCCGGUCUAUCAAGAAUGAACCUAGCUCGCAGAGCUGCCAUUACAUGACAAAACUCAGGAAAUAAUUUCAGUUUGGUUUGUACAAAGCCAAAGAAAAAUAUAGGUGCGAAAUUUUGGUCCAGGGGAAACCCACAGCAGCGCCUUCAUGUCACAUGGGCACCAAAGGCAACUGAAAAUCAAAUCACUGCACGUCUAAUGAUCAUGAAUCUCUAAUUUUGCAGAACUUCUAUUCAAAGGCACAUGACUAACUUCACUUCGGUUUUAUAUGAAGCUAAAUAAAACAAAUCUUGCUAACAAAUUUGGCUCCAAAAAAAUGACAGCAGCAUUUCAGUUUAGUAUUUAGAAACAAUUUCAAACACUGGCCAGUCAGAAAACUAAAAAUACAAGGAAAGCACAGUACAAAAUCCACCCAAAUACAGUAGAAAGAACACACAAACAUCUACUGUUAAGUGUUAAGAACCAAAGGAAACAACUCAAUACACUACCACCCUUUUUAGUCCACUAUAUGUAUCUACUUAUCUAGCUAGAUGGAAUUUCAGAACUAGAACACUGCCCUUCAUUAGAUACUAAUAAAGUAACGAUAAAGAUGCCCAUACAAAAAUGUGAAGAAGUUGCAAGAAUGAAUUAUGAGGAUGGCAAACCUUAGAAGAUAUUCUUUACAGAACUAGUUACCAGAACAAGUCUUAGCUCUUUCUCUUUCCCUCUGUCAGGCCACCAAGGAGCUCCCACUGGUGUUUUCCAGCACAGCUAGAAGCAUAAGCAGCAGCAAGACCUGGGACACUCAUCUCGUGCGGGUGCACAAGUUUAGCCAGGAGAUUAUCAUUGCCCAUCACUGCAAUAGUAUAGAAGCUGAAACUAGAAGUCACCAAUCCCUUGUCCUCGAGAAAUUUCAUCAAGUAAUAGCGCGGCAACAACCGACGCUCCACACUAUACAAUAGCAACACUGGCCGAUACACAAUGUCUGGCAUCUGCAACCCAACAUCACCCAUUAGAAAAUCCAAGCUUUUGCGAACCCUUUCCGGAGCUAAGUUCAGGAUAUUCGGCGCCUUCCUCACUGCUGACGCUAUAUCAUCCCUCGACCAGCCAAGCUUCUCAAACAGCUGUAUAUUACUCUCGAGCUUCUCACGGUUGAAGAUCGCAAACCUCAUGAACGCGAAGGGGAAAGCCCACGUGCCCUGCUGGAUUCCAAACUCGGCAACGCGUGCCAGAGUUUCCUGGAGGUGCUCAUUGCUCCUGACAAGUAUCCGGGACAAGAAAGUGCUGGGGAUAUCGGAAAUCUGCAUCCCGCAUCGCUGAAGAAGGGCCAGGUUGGGCUUGGCGACCUUGUCGAGGUUGGUGCUGAGGAGGCUGCCGUUCAUCUUGACGAACCGCAGGAGCUCGUCGAAGGAGCCGAAGACCCCAAGCCAGAAUUCAAAAUUGCGGAGGAGCGAGCGGCUGCGGAUCCGGGCCUGAGCGGCGAGUACUACCUGGCCGACCUGGUGGCUCGACAGGCCGAGGCUGCGGAGCUCGGCGACGCGGGGGGCCAAGGUCUUCCCCACGUCGACGCAGAGGAGUCUGGGAUCUUUGGCGACGACGGUGGCGAGGUCGGUGCCGGAGAUGUCGAGGCCGGCCAGGAAGGCGAGCACGGCGUCGGGCUUCGAGGGAGAGCUGAGUCCGGGGAUACUUUUGGAUGCCUUGAGGGCCUGCUCUCCGGAGAGGCCGCAUCUGGCGACGAGGUAGUCGGCGACCGUGAAGGGGCUGCUCGCGGCGGCGGCGGAACCGCAGAGGAGGCGAUGGAGGGGGGCGAUGCAGGAGGUUGAGCGGCGGGACGAGGAGAGUAGGUGUGGAAGAAUGCAAUUUCGGAGGCGGAGCAUAGCGUCGGGAGCGGCCGGCGGCCGGCGACCGACGGCGGGAGGGAUUGCGGUGAGUGAGACUGCGCCUUCAGCCUUGGGCCCUUGGCAUUUGGCAACUCCACAACCGAAGGCCGAAGCAUCCAAUUUGGGCCGUAGCCCCUCAUCCAGAUUUCAGCACUUUUCAUCACACUCCAGGCCGAUUCACACACAUUUUUCUAACCUAAUUCUCAUUUCAGCCUCCUAUAUUCCAUCCACUCAAAAAAAAAGCUGUAUUUUAUACAUAAUGUAUUACCAAGUUUAAUGGUAUUUUAAUUUAAACAGCAUUAUUUUAGAUUUGCAUUUUAAAUUGCUUAAGUUUUUAACUGAUAAAUAUUUAACAAAUUAUUUUCACAUCAAAUAAUUCGCAACUGUUAUAUUUUGAACAGGGAUCUUCCAAUGGCUAUAAAUCAAACAGCCAUCCUUCCCACGGCUAUAUUGCAAAUUUUGUCUAAUGUAUUACCAAGUUUAAUGGUAUUUUAAUUUAAACAGCAUUAUUUUAGAUUUGCAUUUUAAAUUGCUUAAGUUUUUAACUGGUAAAUAUUUAACAAAUUAUUUUCACAUCAAAUAAUUCGCAAUUGUUAUAUUUUGAACAGGGAUCUUCCAACGGCUAUAAAUCAAACAGCCAUCCUUCCCACGGCUAUAUUGCAAAUUUUGUCUCCAAGAUGCUAUAUGUUUCAUCUGCAUAUAUGCAGGGGCGAACUUACAAGCAAAUGAAUCCCGGUGCACUAUUUAAGUAACUCACACAACUUUAUUGAAACAUAUGGUGAGAAAUAAAUACCCUGGUGCCUGUGCACCAGGUUACUUCAACAUGGCUUCACCCCUGUAUAUAUGUGUGGUCUUCACUUGAUUCAUGCAUUACUUUUUUUCCACUGUGUUGUUCUUACUCCAUUAGAAAUAAGUUAUCUAACUUGAUUGGAUUCCUCUUCCUCGUAUGAUGAUAACAACGAUUUUAUGGAGUCUGAUCCUUAAUGUAUUACACUAAAAACACACUCAAUAUUAACCUCUUCAUGCUUCACAAAGGGUGAAUCUAUACCUAGGCGUUAUUACAUUCACUGGAACAGAGAAAGUGGUAAAUGGAGGGUUUUUCUGAAAAUCCAACCUACAUCCAUAUUUUCUUUUUUUUUUUUCUAUUUGUCCCUCAAGUUUAGCAUGACUCGUUCUCUAAUUCUACACAUAUGGUUCAUAAUCAUACAUACUCCCUCCGUCCACAAAUAAAUGCAUAUCUCAUAUCCCGAGGAGUCAAACCUUUUUAAGUUCGACCAAGUAUAUAAAAAAAUAUACUAAUAUUUAUCAUAUGUAACAUGUAUCAUUAGAUUGACCAUGAAAUAUACUUUUAUAAUAUACUUAUUUGUAGAUACAAAUAAUAAUACUACUCCCUCUAUCCCAAAUUGUAAGUCAUUCCAAGAAUCUUGGAGAGUCAAAGCAUUUUCACAUUUGACUAAAAUUAUAGAGAAAAAUACUAAGAUUUGUAACGUAAAGUAAGUAUACUAUGAAAAUAUAAUUAAGAAAGAAUCUAAUGAUACUUAGUUAGUACUAUAAUAAUAAUUAUUUUAUAAUAUAAAUUUGGUCAAACUUAAAAAAGUUUGACUCUCCAAGAUUCUUGGAAUGACUUACAAUUUGGGAUGGAGGGAGUAUUUGAUAUAUUUCUAGUCGAUUUUAAAAAAGUUUGACUCCUCGAAAAGCGAGAUGUGCAUUUAUUUAUGGACGGAGAGAGUAUGAGUUUCUUGGAUUCAUAUGUCUGUAUCACAAAUAGACAAUUCACACCCAACAUUUUGAGUUUCACUAGAUUUUGUUGUUACGUUUGGGUCCUCAGUGUUUUGUUUUUGGUUUAGACUCAAGCAGGGCGGAUCUAAAGGGGGGCUGGGGGGCUCUAGCCCCCCCCCCCCCCGGCCCGCCAACAAUAGUUAGUGCAUCAAUGGAAAUAUGGGGAGGGUGAGGAAGAAGAAGGGGUGGAGGAAAGAAGAAAAAUGGAGAGAAGAAGAGAUCAACCCCUUUAAUCUUAUUUUGCAUCCGCCACUGGACUCAAGAAUAUAAUAUUCAUAAUCAUGUACUAUGAUGAAUGCAUGCUUAAAAUAUAAUCACUUAAAAAAGUGAUUGUCCAUUAUAGUUAAGGACUUUAAGGUAUAUGGCGCAUGUGUCACCUCUGCCAUGACAAUGAGCUUGUUCACUUAGCUAAAAAGUCAUAGUUGAAAGUAUUAUUCGCUGAUUUGUUAUGAGAGAAAAAUACUAUUGAAUGAGUAGUAGAUUCAGCAAAGAUAAGCUCGAAGACAGCAGAGGAUUUACACCAUUUAUGGUCAUUCCACGUAACACAUGCCAUCGUCAUGCGCUAUUGCGCUGGGAUAUUUUUCGCAACAACAUUCCUCGUCCAAGCACUGCAUACACACGCAUCAAACUAGGCAACCCAUCGUGGAUUCAUGUUACUACUCCAGAAAGAAUCAAUGGUCGAUCGAUAGAGCGAUGGAGUAAUUAACGAUGAUUGAUCGAAAAUUGAAUAUGGUACAGGCCAUCGAUAUAGAUUGAUUCAUCCACACUGAUGUUACAUGCGAUCUGUGCUUAGUUUACAUCGAUCUCGUGCAACUACUACACGCCUACGAUUGAAAACAACAAGUAGAGUACAAGAGACCUCGCUCGACAUGCACGCAUGGAUGCUCUGCUCAGCUUCAGCUCGCUCGCUCGAUCAGCUUUAGUUGCCGGGGACGAAGUUGGUGGCGUAAGCCCAGGCGUUGUUGGCGACGGGGUCAGCGACAUGGUCGAAGAGGUUCUCGAUGGGUCCCUUGCCGGUGACGAUGGCCUGGACGAAGAACCCAAACAUGGAGAACAUGGCGAGGCGGCCGUUCUUGAGCUCCUUCACCUUGAGCUCCGCGGCGGUGUCGGGGUCAUCGGCGAGCCCGAGCGGGUCGAACGCGCCGCCGGGGUAGACCUUGUCGAGCCCUUCCCCGAGCGGGCCGCCGCCGACGCGGUAGCCCUCGACGAAGCCCAUGAGCACGACCUGGCACGCCCAGAUGGCCAGGAUGCUCUGCGCGUGCACCAGGUUCGGGUUGCCCAGGUAGUCCAGCCCGCCCUCCGAGAAGAUCUGCGCGCCGGCCUUGAACCACACCGCCUCGCCGAACUUGACGCCGUUCUUGGCCAGGAUCUCCGGGAACACGCACCCCAGCGCGCCCAGCAUCGCCCACCGCGAGUGGAUCACCUCCAGCUCGCGGUUCCGCGCGAACGUCUCCGGGUCCGCCGACAGCCCCGCCGUGUCCCACCCGUAGUCGCCGGGGAACUCGCCGGUCAGGUACGACGGC
rnacentral:lncRNA from 1 species